GUUGUGCCUCUGCCAAGCUUGCAUCCCCUUGAAACAGAACUGCCAGUCUGGAGGAAGAGAAACUAGAACCAGGUUGGAGGACUUUCCCGAAGGUUUGCUGAAUAGCCCAGAAAGCUCCUUACUCCUUUGGCCGGGGCCAGAGACUGGAUAAUUCCUUGGGAAUAAUCCCAUGAUCCCUGUUCUGUUUGGAUUACUACCUUCAUCUCUAUGAUGGCUUAAGAAGUGAGGGGACAUAGACAAAAGAAUUAUUCAGAGAGGGGCCUAGAUGGUGAGAAGCUUGAAACUGGGACAGUGUCUGUCAAACUGGAGAUGAGAAGACUCAUGUUCAACAGGAGACUGUCUUCAGACUCUAAUGGCUGUCACGUGGACUGCGUCAGACAUUCUGUGCAAGCCCAAAAGUAGAACCAGACUUACAGAGAAGUCGAUCAUAAUGCGACGUAAGGAAAACCUCACCUUCUGUGAUCGUGAUUAUGGGUAUGAAAGAGCCAGUGAAAACCCCAGGCAGACACACUGAGCAGCCUCUGAAUAACUGAGAAAUGCAGACAAAGGUGGUGAUUUGGGGAACUGGAGAGCAAGUCCUUCACCAGCUCUGCCUCCUUGCUGUCACUGUCACAGUACCCGAGCCAGCGAGGCUUUUCCCGACCCUCCCUUGUGUGCACACGGCGUGAGUGUGCUUGUGCCCGUGUUCGCAGACCUGGAGCUCCGGCCUCUUUCUGUGUGUUCUUUCCCACACACCCGCUUCCUCUUCUGCCGCUCAUGCCACAGUCCUCG